rnacentral:rRNA from 1 species
UACGUAGGGUGCGAGCGUUGUCCGGAUUUAUUGGGCGUAAAGAGCUCGUAGGCGGUUUGUCGCGUCGGCCGUGAAAUCUCCACGCUUAACGUGGAGCGUGCGGUCGAUACGGGCAGACUUGAGUUCGGUAGGGGAGACUGGAAUUCCUGGUGUAGCGGUGAAAUGCGCAGAUAUCAGGAGGAACACCGAUGGCGAAGGCAGGUCUCUGGGCCGAUACUGACGCUGAGGAGCGAAAGCGUGGGGAGCGAACAGG